AGCACAGUGGCAUAGUGGUUAGCACUGUUGCCUCGCAAUAAGGAGAUUCUGGAUUCAAGCCCCAGCUGGCCA